AUGUUUUUCCAUUAUCAUCUUCUUCAUGCUCACACAAAACCCACUUCCUCUUCUUCAUUAAACUCCAAGCAUGAGCUGCAAGCUAUGCACAUCUCUUCUUUGCAUAUUCAUCUGCAAAAUAAAGAAGAAUGGAGUGAUUUGAGGACAUGCAUUACAUAGAAAUUUUGAGAGAAAAUUUUAGCUGGAAGAAAGGGUUCUUUGGUAAUGUGCUACUGUGAGUUUUUCUCUGUUCUACAUUGCUUCAAGCUGUUCUUGAGUUCCACAACUCGGUCUAAAGCUCCAAGAGGACAGUGGGGAAGAUCUUGAGGUGGUUCAUGGUGAUCUUUGGUGAAGACUGCUGCUGUUUGAUUAAGUUCUUGAAGAGUUUUACAAAGGGUUAGUGGUCGUGAAAAUUUCAUGUCGACAGUACAAAUGUGGUGUUGCAAGAACCCACUGAAGUGAUGAAGCUACCAAGCAAGUGAUUGAUGUUUGGUUAGUGACAAAACUUAUUGUAAUGUAGUUACUCGUGACAAUACCUUAUUGUAUUUAUUUUCUUUGUAAAAAUUUUGCC